GACAGAGGAUGCAAGCGUUAUCCGGAAUGAUUGGGCGUAAAGCGUCUGUAGGUGGCUUUUCAAGUCCGCCGUCAAAUCCCAGGGCUCAACCCUGGACAGGCGGUGGAAACUACCAAGCUGGAGUACGGUAGGGGCAGAGGGAAUUUCCGGUGGAGCGGUGAAAUGCGUAGAUAUCGUUUGGAACGCCGAUGGUGAAAACAGGUCGCUGGGGCUGUGCUGACGCUGAGACACGAAAGCCAGGGGAGCGAACGGG
rnacentral:rRNA from 1 species